rnacentral:rRNA from 1 species
GACGAACGCUGGCGGCGCGCUUAACACAUGCAAGUCGAACGGAAAGGCCUGCUUUCCCUUGUGGAUUGCGGGUACUCGAGUGGCGAACGGGUGAGUAACACGUGAGUGAUCUGCCCCCAACUUGGGUAUAAGCCUGGGAAACUGGGUCUAAUUCCCGAUAGGACUGCAGGGUGGUGCCUGUGGUGGAAAACGAUUUUCUAGUGGUUGGGGAUGAGCUCGCGGCCUAUCAGCUUGUUGGUGGGGUAAUGGCCUACCAAGGCGGCGACGGGUAGCCGGCCUGGGAGGGUGGACGGCCACAUUGGGACUGAGAUACGGCCCAGACUCCUACGGGGGGCAGCAGUGGGGAAUAUUGCACAAUGGGCGGAAGCCUGAUGCAGCGACGCCGCGUGGGGGAUGACGGCCUUCGGGUUGUAAACUCCUUUCGACCGCGAGGAAGCCACCUGGUUGGAAGGGUGGUGACGGUAGUGGUAGAAGAAGCACCGGCUAACUACGUG